rnacentral:rRNA from 1 species
UAGGGAAUCUUCGGCAAUGGACGAAAGUCUGACCGAGCAACGCCGCGUGAGUGAAGAAGGUUUUCGGAUCGUAAAACUCUGUUGUUAGAGAAGAACAAGGACGUUAGUAACUGAACGUCCCCUGACGGUAUCUAACCAGAAAGCCACGGCUAACUACGUGCCAGCAGCCGCGGUAAUACGUAGGUGGCAAGCGUUGUCCGGAUUUAUUGGGCGUAAAGCGAGCGCAGGCGGUUUCUUAAGUCUGAUGUGAAAGCCCCCGGCUCAACCGGGGAGGGUCAUUGGAAACUGGGAGACUUGAGUGCAGAAGAGGAGAGUGGAAUUCCAUGUGUAGCGGUGAAAUGCGUAGAUAUAUGGAGGAACACCAGUGGCGAAGGCGGCUCUCUGGUCUGUAACUGACGCUGAGGCUCGAAAGCGUGGGGAGCAAACAGU